rnacentral:tRNA from 1 species
GGCCAAAUGGUCUAGUAGUAUGAUUCGCCCUUCGGGUUCCAUCCGCCUUCAUCGGCUUAAUUGGGCGAGGUCCCGGGUUCAAUUCCCGGUUUGGCCC